rnacentral:rRNA from 1 species
UACAGAGGGGGCAAGCGUUGUUCGGAAUUACUGGGCGUAAAGGGCGCGUAGGCGGCCUGUUAAGUCGAACGUGAAAUCCCCGGGCUCAACCCGGGAACUGCGUCCGAUACUGGCAGGCUCGAAUCCGGGAGAGGGAUGCGGAAUUCCAGGUGUAGCGGUGAAAUGCGUAGAUAUCUGGAGGAACACCGGUGGCGAAGGCGGCAUCCUGGACCGGCAUUGACGCUGAGGCGCGAAAGCCAGGGGAGCAAACAGG